GAUGAAGAACGCAGUGAAAUACGAUAAUUAAUGUGAAUUGCAGAAUUCCGUGAAUCAUCGAGUCUUUGAACGCACAUUGCGCCUCAUGGCAUUCCGUGAGGCAUGCCCAUCUCAGCGUUAGAAAAUAUUCUCAAAUUUUAGUUUUGUGCUAAAAUUUGGAUCAUGUCAAAGAAGCUAUUACUAUUAUUGUGAUCGCUCUUUGGAAAUUGAUAGGUCUUUGAGUUGCUACUCAUAGAACGUGAUGAAUCUUUCUUCGUUCUAUUGUAAUUCACUCUGGUAGUCCUAAAACUUGUAUGCCUGUGGCAUAUCUUGUAAUUUGACCUGAGAUUGGGUAGGGAUACCCGCUGAACUUAAGCAUAUCAAUAAGCGGAGGA
rnacentral:misc_RNA from 1 species